AAUAGAUACCCCGGUAGUCCACGCCGUAAACGAUGGAUACUAGCUGUUGGGGGCGACCUCAGUGGCUAAGCGAAAGUGAUAAGUAUCCCACCUGGGGAGUACGUUCGCAAGAAUGAAACUCAAAGGAAUUGACGGGGGCCCGCACAAGCGGUGGAGCAUGUGGUUUAAUUCGAUGAUACGCGAGGAACCUUACCAAGGCUUAAAUGCAGACUGACCGUUUUGGAAACAGAACUUUCGCAAGACAGUCUACAAGGUGCUGCAUGGUUGUCGUCAGCUCGUGCCGUGAGGUGUCAGGUUAAGUCCUAUAACGAGCGCAACCCCUGUUGUUAGUUGCCAGCGAGUAGUGUCGGGAACUCUAACAAGACUGCCAGUGCAAACUGUGAGGAAGUGGGGAUGACGUCAAAUCAUCACGGCCCUUAGCCUUGGGCUACACACGUGCUACAAUGGCCGGUACAGAGAGCAGCCACCUCGCGAGGGGGAGCGAAUCUACAAAGCCGGUCACAGUUCGGAUCGGAGUCUGCAACUCGA
rnacentral:rRNA from 1 species